rnacentral:tRNA from 2 species
CAAAGAAUAGUUUAACUUAGAAUCCUGGCUUUGGGAGCCAGGGGUGGGAGUUAAAAUCUCCUUUCUUUGA